UUUAGAAGCGCACAAUAGGAAAACGAACAUGGAAUACAAGUAACGAGCCAUUGCGUAGCCUAGGACGUAUACUGAUUUCUUUUCGACGGCUGCAUCACCGAUUUAUGUCACAACCCGAACGUGUCAAAUAUUUGCUGAUAACUUGACGGGUUCAAAAGUCAUCGACACUUGGAUGCUAGUCAACACACUUGUGUAAAUAUUUCAGUACAGGACUAAUCAUGUACGUCGGAGUGGAUUGAGAUUCGUCUAAUUGUAAGAAAGAAACGAGUUCAGGCUGUCAUCAACUCUAACAACAUCCUGGUCCACAUCUCAAAUUUGAUGUUGACGGAUUCGUUGAGUGUUAUUGACAGUUCAAUGCGUGUUCUGCAGCCCUUUGUAAAAGAAUAGAAAAUUGAAAUGGAAACACGGGGACGACAAUGAUCCACCUCAAGUUUCCAGCAAUCGUCCGAACAACUUUGACUUGAUUCCUACGCUUCCGUUGGGCUACAAACGAACACUUAUUUCUGCUAGAGACUUGCAGGCCAGCAAUCUCAAAUCCUCAAGAAGGGCCCCGCAUUAAGGUAAACAUAGGUUGGAAUAAAUGUUUGUUACAUCCCAACUGGAAAAGAAUAUGUCAACGAAAAUGAAACAACGGAUCGCAAAAAAAAUACCCGAUAAACGAAAAAUAUCAACGCAUUUUCCGACACAGGACGAACGAGAAACUAAAGUGCCAGGGGGAAUCUGCUGGCAUCGCCUGCAUUGAUUUAGAGAAACGAAGAGGAAAAGAUACGGAAAAGACGACAAAGAAGCUGACACGGAAACAGAAAUACUUUUUGAUUCACAAAAGAAGAAAAAGGAAAAUGUACGAGCAACGUAAAAGAAGAGAACCAGAGACGUGAUUAAUUCGAGGAAAGUAGAAAAAUGCUGAUAGCGAGGUUUAAUUGAUUUCUGAAGCAGCUCGACAACGUCCUUGAGACUUGUUUUCACUAUUUGAAACAAAAACAAAAAAAACGCUGCAACUAAGAAGAAUCGGCUCUGGUAUUUCCCAUGAAAAUGGACAUAGGACAGACCAACGCGUUAGCACAACAUCAUUUCUAGAUUUCCUCGUAUUUCAUUUUAAGCCGCUGUGCGAAGACGAAAGGAUGGGACGUGAUCUUUCCGGGACGAUUCGAUCAUUUCUUAUUAUUUUGGCGCUAUCUACUUGCUGUUUCACGACCGCUCCACCUGAUUUGCAAGCUAGAGUUGAGCAACUUGAGAAAUACUAUGUCGAAAUUAAAGAACAUUUUGAAGCCAAAAUUAUUGAUUUGGAGACGAAAGUCGUUCGCCUGGAAGCCAAAGUUGAAAAACAGGAUUCACUUUUGGCUGAUUUGAAAAAAGGACACAAACCCUUGAAAGAGAAUGUCGACAUCAACCAACAUUGUCGUCAAAACGCUACCCUUCGUACUUGCCACGAAAUCCACGUUGCUAAUCCGUCGUACCCAUCUGGUAUGUACUGGAUCGAUCCUGACGGCCAAGGCAUUGGUGAUCCACCAAUCCACGUCUAUUGCGAAAUGGAGGCAGAACAAAGUGAUGUCAAAGGUACAACAUCCAUCCUGCACGAUAGCGAGUCGCAAAUGGACAUUGGAAAUUGCACCGAACCUGGAUGUUACUCGAGGCCGAUCAAAUAUUACGCAAGCGAUAGACAAAUCGAAGCGUUGAUUCAAUUGUCCACUUACUGCCAUCAAAAUAUUAUGUACCAUUGCAGAAAAACACCGUUAAACUUCAACGGGAUCGCCUAUGCUUGGUGGAACGACAAAGAUGGCGAAAGGCACAAGUUUUCUAAUCGGUCGACGACGUGCGACCAACUAGCUUACACAGAAGGUUACGAUUUACAAUACGUCGUGGACAACGUUUCUCUGCCUAUUACGCGCAUCCAUUUUAGCAAUCCGUUUAAAGGAUUCGGCCAACACCAAGUGAGUCGGUUGCGAUGUCGCGGAAAGGCAAAGACGGAGGCGAUGCCGAGAUCGUGUGAAGAUUUGUGGCGGAUGGGCCAUAACCUCAACGGAAUCUACUCCGUCAAAGGAGCUAAACAAAUGGAAACUGUUUUCUGCCAAUUUGAUAAACGACCUAAUGAACAAGAUUUCCAGAAGAGGAUUGGCUAUCAAGACAUAAAGACACGACCAGUAUACUUCUCCGGAGAGGGAAGGCGAUUAUUUAUGGAAAAGUUGAUUCCAAUUCCGUUUGAUCAUGACGUAGUCAACAUUGGAGGGGCCAUGGAUUCGCAUAGCGGCGUAUUCACAGCACCCUCUACGGGGACUUACUUCUUUUCUUUUACUGGACUCACGGGUUUUAAAGGAGGGGUGGUAAUAACCGAAUUCACGUUUCUUUCUAGUAGAGGAGUAGAGGAGAAAAUAAUGAAACAUUCUACUAUAAGCUUUUCAAAACUUACAACUUUUAAUCCAAUUACCGUUCAAAGUACUCUACGUUUGCAAGCCGGAGAUAAAGUAUGGAUCAAUCUCGAUUUUCGUAAUGAUGCCACAUUUCGUUUCGUAGACAACACGAUUUUUAGCGGAUGGCUUUUAGAAGAAGAAAUCUAAGCAUCGCCAACGUUUUACACAAGCCAGUUUGGCAGCAAAUACUACGACCAUGAAAACAAAAGGGCACCAACAAGCACAGAACGUCCUUCAUUCCGACCCCAUCAACUUAUAAAUAUGCUUCUAAAUAUGUUUUCAAUCUCACUGUUCAUUUCGAAAUUAAACAUGUUAGCGAAACCGGUUUCAGUAGCUAGUACGACAGUAGCAGGUACGAAGUCUUGAAAGCCGUAAGGCUUCGCAAAAACUACGUAUUUAACAGAGGACCUUCUUAUUUUCGUUCAUCAGUACACAGAGAUUGAACGAAAAGGAUGAAUGUUUUUUUUUGCUAGCCAAAGACUUGCCAUUUUAUUGACAUCCCACAAUCGCCACUUCAGCCGAACAUACGGCGUCCUAAAAAAAUGCGAUUCGUUGCUAUUCAAUAGCUAUUCUAUUCAGCCGUCGGUGGUGGUGGAUCCUAGGGUGGAUUCGGCGGAGGAUAUGGUGACGGACACGGUGGCUGCCCCGCUUGUUAAACUUUAACUGAAAGAAUUAUCCUUGAAUGAUUCAUCUUUGACCAACCAUGAAUGACGAAAAAUGUUGCAGAUUUUUAACGAAGAUUGUAGAUCAAUCCUAUAUUAUAUACUGUUGUAAUUGUGACCUAUCAAAUACAGUAUCAUUACUUUAA
rnacentral:misc_RNA from 1 species